rnacentral:lncRNA from 1 species
AAGUUAAAUUUUAAUUUAGAGUUUGGCCUUCCUCAGUUUCGAAGAGGCGAAAUGAGAAUAUAAUGAAAAGAAAAUGAAAAACCAAAAUAUGAACGACGAAACGGUAUUUUUGUACAUUAAUGGACUAAAGAAAAAUCGACCAAGACCAAAACCGGACUAAAAGGAAUUCGUGCAAAAGGAAUAUGUGUAAACCGAGGUAAAAUUGAAUAUUGUGAUGUGGCCAAUUAGCAGACUCGCCAGGCUGUCGAAUACAUUGCUUUGCGGUAAUGGUUCGGGCUCUGUGUGCCGGCUCUGAGUUCAAAUCAAGCCCUGGUCAAAUAUGUCAAUCACUGUAUCGCGAUAUUUAAAUAAAAUUACUUGUCCUGUUCUAGAGGUCACUUCCCCUCUCCCUCUUUUCUUAUUCUCGGGAACAAAUUGUCUGUAAUCAAACAUGUUGGGAGACGAUCUCCCUUAGAUCUCAAAAUGUUGAAGACGUUGACUAUAUUACGAUUCCAUCAAGAAAUUGAGGACCCAAGGUAAGACAAGGCGAAUAUAUAUACAUACAUCAUAGAUACAUACAUUCAUAUACAUAUAUAUAUAUAUAUAUAUAUAUAUAUAUAAAUAUAUAUAUAAAUAAAUAUAUAUGUGUGUGUGUGUGUGUGUGUGUGUGUGUGUGUGCGCACGCAAUUACAAAUAUAUGCAUGUAUACAUGUAAAUACACACAUACACAUGCAGGUGUACAUCAGGCAUUUAUGUGUGUAUAUGUGUGUGAUAAGAGAAAAGAAUAUGGGCAUAAACUGGUACUCCUUUAUUCUGGUUGUUUCAUGUUUCAUUAUUCGGCAGCACAUGAAGUGACACUAUGGAUGCAGCCAAUAUAUGCAGUUUAUAGAGCCAGUAUGGGGUUUUUGCUUUGUUUUGUUUUGUUCCUUUUAUAGACAUCUGAGAGAUUCGUUUUUUUAUAAUGUUUUUCGAACAAGUUCAUUUUAUAUAAUAAGCAAGACUCAAUGUCUGAUUGUCCGAGCAGUAACCUUGCAGUUUUCGUUUUUAAUUUGCCCCAUUAUGGCUCUAUAAACUGCAUAUAUUGGCGCGUAGAGAUCAUCCAAUCAUACCUUCCCCUAUCUCUCUCUAUAUACAUAGAGACGAAGAGACAGAGAGACGAAUAAAUAGAUAUCGUUAUACAAAUAUAUAUAUGCACAAAAUGCGCAGACAUGCAUACACACACACACUGCAUAUGUGAGUAUGCGUGCAUGUUUGUGCAUGUAUAUAUAUAUAUAUAUAUAUAUAUAUAUAUAUAUAACACCAGCGGUGUUCCCCAGGGAACUGUUUUGGGUCCGCUACUCUUCAUAAUUUAUGUAAACGAUCUUUCCAGUGUCGUACAUCACUGCAAAGUGAAAAUAUUCGCUGAUGACACUAAGCUCCAGCAAAUCGUCAAUGAAGAAGCAGACCGAACUCAACUCCAGUCUGACCUAUAUGCUGUGAGUCAAUGGGCAGACAGAAACAAAAUGCAACUGAAUGAGGGAAAAUUUGAGCUGAUGCAUUUUGGAAGAAAUUCCUCACUAAAACAACCAUACUCUCUUCCUUCAGGGGAACCGCUCACAGCCUCUAACAAUAUCAGAGACCUGGGUGUAAUUGUUGAUGACGAUCUCAGUUGGAGCGCACACAUCAACAAGAAGGUCGAUACAGCUCGUAGGAUGAGUUCCUGGAUCUUAAGAACUUUCCGGUCCAGAGAACAAGGUGUCAUCAUACCACUUUUUUCAUCCUUUGUACGGCCACACCUUGAAUACUGCUGCCCACUGUGGUCUCCUCACACAAGACAAAACAUCUCCAGAAUUGAGUCACCCCAGAGGGCUCUCACUAAACAAAUUGAAGGCAUGGCUGCUCUCGACUAUUGGGAUCGCCUUAAAGCCUUGAAACUUUACUCCCUCCAGCGUCGCCGUGAGCGGUACAUCAUUUGUACGAUGUGGAAAAUAUACCGCCAACUUUGCCCAAACGACCUAAACAUUAGCUUCAAGGUUCAUCCGAGACUUGGACCACGGGCUAUACGUCCCCUGCCAAAUUCAAGAUCACAACAUACAUGUACACUGCAACAUAAUUUCUUUUCCUCAACAGGCCCUGCCCUAUUUAACAUUGUCCCGAGUGGAGAUCAAAGAGGAAAAGGAUCCCAUCAACUUCAAACAGAGUCUGGAUAGAUUCCUUCAAAGAAUACCAGACAAGCCACCCAUAAUUGGAUACAACUCACCCAACAAGAACUCACUACUUGAACAAAACUUGACUUAAACAGGAUUCGAAUAAUCCUAUCAGGUGGUGCUAUUAAGUUAGACAUGGCCUGGACCAAUCUCUUGUCGAAACAUAUCUAAGUUUUAUCUAAGUUUUAUAUAUAUAUAUAUAUAUAUAUAUAUAUAUAUAUAUAUAUAUAUAUAUAUAUAAAUACAAAAUGGGACAAGAGCGCAAAACAUCUGGACAACUAGAUGAUACAAAAAGCGUGGGACAACAAAACAUCCAGAUAGACGACCUACCUAGAAAAGCAAAGGACGUUCUUGUUAGGAUGUUCAGACAUGCAUGCACACACACACAGCAUAUGUGAGUAUGCGUGCAUGUUUGUGCAUAUAUAUAUAUAUAUAUCCUAUCAACACAUCCCACCGAUGCAAUGUUGAGACAGGUCACAGAAGCUGUUUGUAUACAAGAAUACAAAUCUACUCUCAACCGAAAGUCCGGAAUGGAGUAACAUCCAGAUCCCAUUCAGAAGGACUAUUCUAUAACCACCCCUCUCUCUCUCUCUCCGUUUACUUGUAGUCCUUAUACAUACAUGUUGCAAUGCGUAUGUGCAGUUAUAUAUAACCGUAUGAGCGUACGUUGUUUGAUACGUACAGUUGCACUUAGGCGUUGUAUCCAUUCACAGUUAGACGGUGAUGAGCGGAACAAACACACACCCACACAUAUAUAUAUAUAUAUGUGUGUGCGUCUAUACAAACAUAUAUGUGAAUAUGUAUACAACCUUCAACAAAGUAACAGUCAUGUACACAACUUGGACGGACACAUGCCAGUACACGGACAUACGUUCACAUACACAUACACAUGUACACACUCUCACAGACACGUCUGCCCAUUCUCCUAGACACUCACAUACAUACGUAGCACAUGAGUACAAACAUACAUACAUACCUACGUAUGGGCAUACACACGUACAUACGCACGUACAUGUACGCACACACACAUAUGGGCACAUGCAUAUACGUGCGCGUAUACAUACAUACGCACAUGCGUACAUAUGUACAUACACACAUACAUACAUACAUACAUACAUACAUACAUACAUACAUACAUACAUACAUACAUAUUUUUAUACAUACGCACAUACAUACAUACAUACAUACAUACAUACAUACGCACAAUAGUAAAACAAAAAGUUCUGUGAUAUAGAGAUAAAUAUCUGAUAAUAGGUUUUAGGGUAUAGUUUUGGGAGUAGGGGUCGUGAAUCACUUCCAGGCUUCGGCGGGGGGAAGUUGAAAUUUGAUAUUGUUGUGAUGAGUGGUCACUCUACAUCUGUCCAUCGCUACAGGUUUGUAGCUUUAUGUUUAUAGUGUGUAUGUGCGUGCAUAUACACACACAUACAUACAUACAUACAUACAUACAUACAUACAUACAUACAUACAUACAUACAUACAUACAUACAUGCAUACACAGGCGUAUGUACGUACAUGCAUACAUACAUACACACAUAUAUGCAUACAUACACACAUACAUACGUACAUAUAUAUGACGAACUAACUGUUACUUUUUCAGAUGCAGCACGGAUUUUUGUCAGUGAACAGGUCGCGGAUUUUAGCGACGAAAAUAUUUUGACAAAUUAAACGGUGUUUUUGUGUGUUUCAAAUGUUGAAGUGAAUCGAACGGCUUUUGUGUGUUUCUUAAAUGGCUUAUAAACACCCUUCCACGCUGCAAUUGUUUUCGUUUCAGCACACACCAUCUCAGAUCAAAUUACUUGCUAUGCGAGUGGCACAUCUCCCCUAUAUAUAUACAUAUAUAUAUAUAUAUAUAUAUAUAUAUAUAUAUAUAUAUAUAUAUAUAUAUAUAUAUAUAUAUAUAUAAAUAUAUAUGUAUAUAUAUAUGUAUAUAUGUAUAUAUAUAUAUAUAUGUGUAUAUAUAUAUAUAUGUGUAUAUAUAUAUAUAUAUAUAUAUAUAUAUAUAUAUGUAUGUAUAUAUAUAUAUAUAUAUAUAUAUAUAUAUAUAUAUAUAUAUGUAUGUAUGUAUGUAUGUAUGUAUGUGUUAUGUAUCACACGUGUGCGGUCAACACAUAACCCCAAUUAUUUAUUGAUCUAUAUAUAUAUAUAUAUAUAUAUAUAUUCGUAUCUAUAUAUAUAUAUAUAGGUAAUGAGAUACAGAAGAUAGAAGAUACGAAAAAUUUUAUUAGAUAGAUAGAUAGAUAGAUAGAUAGAUAGAUAGAUAGAUAGAUAGAUAGAUAGAUAGAUAGAUAGAUAGAUAGAUAUGCACACAUACACCUGCACACACACACUGACACACAUGUGAAGUAAAACAUGUGGGAUUAUAUUUUCACUUGCUAUACACUUAUUUUGAUAUAUUUUCAAAUAAAUACGAUUUCCAUCUCCAUUAAAUAUUUAACUAUUUCUGUUAAUUUUAUUUUUAUAAUUUUAUCCUUUAUAAAUUUCUAUCUAUUUUUUUUUAUUUAGCACUUCCAGUGCAACAAUUGGCGAUAUCACUAUAUUACUAUCUAUACUGCCUCCUUUAUCUAACAUUAGCCUAUUUACUUUUCUGUGAUGUAUAUAUUAUCGAGAUAAUUUUAUUGCUGAAAUUACAACUCUUAAUUCAGAAUAUAUUAUCCCUUCAUCAUAUCAACGGUAACUUUACGGUGUUUCCAAUGCAGCUAUUUUGGAAAUGUAUCACAUAUUUCUUUUGCGCGAAUUCUCCACAUUUUCUUAAAAAAAAUUUUCUUCAAAUUUGAAACUUACUCUAACUUGAUACUUUGGUCCUUACUUUUUGUUUGGUAUUGCUUUGUUUUGUUUUGUUCCGUUUAUAGACAGCAUAAUAAUGCAUGCGAGAGAUUUGUUUUUCUUUGUUUUGUAAUGGUUUUUGAACAAGUUCAUUUUGUAUAAUAAGCAAGACUCAACGUCUGAUUGUCCAAGCAGUGACGUUGCAGUUUUUGUUUUUAAUGCGCUAAGUGUAACGGAUUGGCAAAACCGUUGGAGUAUCGUACCAAAUGCCUUGCAACGUUCCUUCUCGCUCUUUACGUUCUGAGCUGAGUUCAAAUCACACUCCGAUGAAUUUUGCCUUCCAUGAUUCUCUUAAUUCUCUAUCACAAAUUUCAAGUAUUGUGCCUAUAUUAGAAGCAAUUAUUUUUAAUACACCAACAGUUUAUAAUAUAUCACCUAAGCAAAUAUUAACCCGGAGAAGUCGGUAGGUCUUGAAUUUGGUGACUAGAGAGGCGGAUCCAUAUUCAAAAGCAGUAUAGGCGCUAGACGGAUGGACAGGUUAAAUUGUUCGAGGUUUUGUUUGGUCCAGAUCUCCAGUUCGUCAAGAAUUGGGAGGCGAUAACGAGCUGGAAAUUGAAGCUAAUACAGAAAGGCUGAGAGUAAGCAAUGCACGCGUAAGGUUGAGAGUAGGUGAUGCUCGCUCCCGCCAGAUAUUACUGCCCAACCGACGUGCCUUGCCCCUUUUCAUGGCUAGAUAGAUUUUAGUGCAUGGCAUUAUUAUAGAAUAUUAGUAGUAGAUAAAAUCAACGAUGAUCUCGGGGAGAAUCUAGACAUCGCUGAAAAUCACCAGAGUAAACCAUUCCGGAGAACUUUUGGUAUCUGGGACCCAGGGGUAAUUUUCAGGAAAUCCUUGACCAGGCAAUGCUACUGGGUAUUGAGGGUGGGGAAUCUGCAGUUCGGGAUAAAUUCUACAGACACUGCAGAACCAUCAUCUGCACCUUCCGGGCUGCACGUAGAGCGACGAAACCGUUCUGCACGCGUUCGUACAAUGGUAGAGAAUUGCUGAAUGCUGUAGUUAAAAUAUGUGGGACAGUCCCAACGAUUGACUGAUUCCAUUGUGAGAUCGCCACACCUCCUUCUCCUGAUUCGAAAGGGAGGUAGUUUUCCUCUAUCUGAUGAAUUUUACGAAGGAGGUUUUGUAUGGUGGUCAAAACUAAAUUGACUAGAGACAAAGACUUACUUUUCGGCUUAGCCAUUACCAUGUUCCACUUGGAAAGGAAAGCGAAGGUGGAGAGGAAAAUGCUUCUCCUCCGUAAAUUUGUAAGAAACUGGAUGAAGCGGGAGAGUGGCGAAAAUGAACGGACCUUCUAUAGAUAUGCGCCCAUUAUCAUUAUUAUUAUUAUUAUUAUUAUUAUUAUUAUUAUUAUUAUUAUUAUUAUUAUUAUUAUUAUUAUUAUUAUUAUUAUUAUUAUCAUUAUUAUUAUUAUCAUUAUUAUUAUUAUCAUCAUUAUUAUCAUCACCAUCAUCAUCAUCAUCAUCAUUAUUAUUAUUAUUAUCAUUGUUGUUAUUAUUAUUAUUAUUAUUAUUAUUAUUAUUAUUAUUAUUAUUAUUAUUAUUGGGUGAGAGAGCAGUGCAUGCCAUCAAAGUGACACUGGGGUAAAAUAUACGAAGCCCAGUAUACCCACCAUGAGUACCAGUCUCAUAAGGGUACACCAGGCACAUGCAUCACAACCAUAUGUGCGCGACAUGGUGAUCUCAUACCAAGAUAAACAGCUCGUGACCUUGCAGUUGGGACGCAGUUAGAAUUUUCUUCUAGUCGAGUAGCCCAUCCCGCUCAAAAGGUCCCUGAGUAAGGAUUGUUUAAGAAUGUUGAACAAACCACCCAUGUUUCCAAAGGUGAAUUAUCCAAACCUCUAAGAAUUCCUUUCAACACACGGCUAUGAUGCUGCCACUACUUCUGCUCGUGAUCAGAAAUGCACAUAUCGUCGGCCACUAAGGGAUAUGGUGACCUGGUUAAAGUCAAACAACUGACAAGUAAAUCUGUGGUAUUGAGCAGAAUAUUUGCUGUAGCCCAUAUUUUAUAGCAAGUCAAAGUAACGUACAUGAUAACACUUCCAAUCAGUUAAAUUCAGAAGCCAUGAGAAACACUGUUAUUAUUAUUAUUAUUAUUAUUAUUAUUAUUAUUAUUAUUAUUAUUAUUAUUAUUAUUAUUAUUACUAUUACUAUUACUAUUAUUAUUAUUAUUAUUAUUAUUAUUGUUGUUGUUGUUGUUAUUAUUAUUAUUUAAAAGGCGGCAAGCUGGCAGCAUAGUUAGCAGGUUGCACAAAAUGUUUAACGGCAUUUCGUCCAUCCUUACUGUCUGAGUUCAAAUUCUGCAGUUGUCGAUUUUACCUUUCAUCCUUUCAAGGGAAAUAAUGCAGGCAAGCUUUCACGGUUCUAGCGUCAUUCCUUCAUAGUCAGCUCAUGAACUUUUCAGCCCACCCAUAUAUGUUUUGUGUGUGUGUGUGUGUGUGUGUGUGUGUGUGUGUGUGUGUGUGUGUUUGUUUGUUUGUGUGUGUGUUAUCAAAAGAAGCAACAGGAUAUCAAGAGGUGAUGCAGCACGACCGUUUCAAGCGACUCCAUUUAAUUGAACAACGCAAUCAUUGUUCGAUUAAAUGGAAUCGUUCGAAACGGUAGUACGGCAUCACUUUUUGAUAUCCUGUUGCUUAUUUUGAUUUUAUUCACCUUUGAGUUGUACGGAUAAUACCGCACCGAUCAGGUGCUUCAACUUAGAUAUCUAAUUCAACUGAACCUCAUUUAAUUAUAUAUAUAUAUAUAUAUAUAUAUAUAUAUAUAUAUAUAUAUACAUGACUGUAUGUAUAUUACAAUCGGUCAUAUCGUAAAAACAAUAUCUGAUUCAAUAAUUUUAACAUCUCGAGUUUACUGAUCUCCUGUUUAUGAGAAUUUUUUAAAACUUUCAUCAAGAUCAACAAAUAUAAGUUUGAGUGGCUGUGUGGUAAGUAGCUUGCUUACGAACCACAUGGUUCCGGGUUCAGUUCCACUGCGUGGCACCUUCGGCAAGUGUCUUCUAUAGCCUCGGGCCGACCAAAGCCUUGUGAGUGGAUUUGGUAGACGGAAACUGAAAGAAGCCCAUCAUAUAUAUGUAUAUAUAUAUGUGUGUGUAUGUGUAUAUGUUUGUGUGUCUGUGUUUGUUCCCCCAACAUCACUUGACAACCGAUGCUGGUGUGUUUACGUCCCUGUAACUUAGCGGUUCGGCAAAAGAGACCGAUAGAAUAAGUACUAGACUUACAAAGAAUAAGUCCUGGGGUCGAUUCACUCGACUAAAAAAGUGGUGCUCCAGUAUGGCCACAGUCAAAUGACUGAAACAAGUAAAAGAGUAAAAGAGUAGGUGUUGAUGUAGAAUGGAGAAGCAACAGAAGCAAUAAAACUAGACCCGAUCCCAUUCCAAGCAAAAGGUGAAACUAACGCGACAAAUGGUGAUACAAUCACUAUGCUGAAGAACACAUUCGACAUUGAGCUAAAAACUGGAACGUGUACACAACUACAUGAACAACAGCAAUUUUGAUUUAAACGGACGUAAACAUCCCAUCAUCAGCUCCCACAUCCUCUACGGGAAAAUAUUAUGGUUUCGACACCCAGACGUGUGUGUGUCGAGUGAAAUAUAUAUGACAUUUGAUAGACCGUAACUUCAUAGUUUGACUACAAGUAGUUUGACUAAGAAGCCACAGACAUGCCGAAAAUGUAAAGUCCAUCUCAUACACAUGCAUCCUCUUGCACACACAUGCGCAUGCACUUGUGUGUACGUAUAUGCAUGUUGUAUGUGUGUGUGAGAGUGUGUAUGUGUGUUUGUGUGAAAAUCUAUUAUAUACACAUGAGAACAAACAAGCAUUAAACAGAUAUUAAGCUGGCGCUAUUAUUCACUGCUUUAAUUCAAUGUAACAAACAUGUGCAAGCCAUUUAAAUUAUCAAAAUCAGAUAAGCAGGGCCACAUAUAUUUUACUUUUCAGUCUAGAAGAUGCUAUAUUCAAAUAUAUAGAUGUAUACAUAUACCUAGACAUAUACAUAAACAUACACAGACGCGUGCACAUACACACACACACAGAUAUAUAUAUAUAUAUAUAUAUAUAUAUAUAUAUAUAUAUAUAUAUAGAGAGAGAGAGAGAAAGAGAGAGAGAAAGACAGAGAGAAAGACAGAGUCAGACAGAGAGACAAAGACAUAGAGCGCGGUGAAGAGAGAAAGAUUCACACAAAACACUAACAAAUAUAUAUAUAUAUAUAUGUAUGUAUGUAUGUAUGUAUGUAUGUAUGUAUGUAUGUAUAUGUAUAUAUAUGACAUAACCUUCCCAGAUUGCAAGAUUAAGUCGUUGGAGAUACACUCAGCUUUGUGCAUAAAAGCUGCAGUGUCACUUAUUGACAGAGUAAUGGGCGUUACAAGAGAAGAAAGCAAGAUUACGGAGUGCAAGUGAUAUAAAUAAAUUUGCGUAUAACUAAACAGCAGAGAAGAUAAAUAAUAUGAAAAUAUUUCAUAUCAAAAAUAUUUUCGGUGUAAGCCGGUGAGGGGUGCAAUGAGUAGGGAGCAGGCAAAAUGUUUUGCAGUAUUUUGUUACGUUACUUUUUGCAGUUAAUUUUACAUGUCAUCAUUUCGUGGUAGAUAACAUAAGAAUCGGCCAUGUUGUACUUGCCUUUCCAGAUAACUAUCUAGACCCCUACUUUCCAAAAAAUUCGUCAUUUCGUGCCAAUCUAAGAAAAUAUUAUUGACCUGGUAUUGUUUUUUGGGAAGAAAAAAAAUUUACGAAAACAACUGUAUAGCUACUUUUCUACUCUAGGCACAAGGCCCGAAAUUCUCGGGGAGGGGGAGCCAGUCAAUUAGAUUGACCACAGUACGCAACAGGUACUUGAUUUAUCGACCCUGAAAGGCAGGGUCGACCUCGGCGGAAUUUGAACUCAGAACGUAGCGGCAGACUAAAUACCUAUUUCUUUACUACCCACAAGGAGCUAAACACAGAGAGGACAAACAAAGACAGACAAACGGAUUAAGUCGAUUACAUCGACCCCAGUGCGCAACUGGUACUUAAUUUAUCGACCCCGAAAGGAUGAAAGGCAAAGCUCACCUCGGCGGAAUUUGAACUAAGAACGUAGCGGCAGACGAAAUACCGGUAAGCAUUUCGCCCAGCGUGCUAACGGUUCUGCUAGUUCGCUGCCUUUGAAACUGUAUGGCAACUGACAGCAAAGAACCUUUCUCGAGAGACAAAACAGUGCAGACGUGGGCAUUGCUGAUAACAAUUACCUCGUGCGGAAGGAAUCUAGCCAGCAGCCGAGUGUAUAAUAAGGUUCGAUUCAUCACCUUGUUUUAAAAUAAAAAUUAGAGCGAUUUGUCUUCCUGUGUCUGCUGAUCUUAACAAAAUAAAAAAAGAGGUUUAUAGUAGGCGCUAUUAAAAGCCUACGAUUUCUUCUUCACGUAUAUCACGUCCUACAUAAAGAGAAAGGCGGGGCUUUAAAGCAUACCAUUUCUGGGUGUCAGUAGUAAAAAUGGCAUUGCUAAGUAACCCUACUUGAACUACGUAAAUGUAGGCUGCAAUAAUACUUGGAAGUUGAAAUUGUCUUGGUUGUCCGUGUAAUUAAGGAUAUUGUGUGAGGAGACUCCGAAUUACCUCAGGUGAGUGCACUAUAUUGUUAGUGCUAUUCAUUGCUAUUUAUCUACAGACAUUCCUUUAAUUGUAAAGGCGGCAAGACAGCAGAAUCGUUAGGAUGCGGGGUAAAAUUCUUAACGGUAUUUCGCCCGUCUUCACAUUCUGAGUUCAAAUUCAGCCGAAGUCGACUUUGCCUUUUAUCCUUUCGGGUCGAUAAAAUAAGUACCAAUUUCGGUGUCGAUAAACUAAGUACCAAGUUGAGGACUGAGGAUCGAUAAAAUCGAAUUCAUUCUUCCCCUAAAUUGCUGGCCUUGUACCAAAAUUUGAAAUCAAUGUGUCUUCAUUUUUGAUACCGCUUGUCUAAUGUAUAAAAAUCCCCCAAUGGUUUAAAUAUAAUUUUUUGGUUUAAUCUUAGCAUUCCAGUCUUUGGAGAGUUGAUAAAAUAAGAACUAGUUAAGUUCUAGGGGUUAUUUAUCGGAUGUGCACCUAUUCUUUCUACAUGUUUGAUUCUGAAUCAAAGGUAAAAAUAAUUAUUCAAAGUGCUUUUUCUCUUUCUUUUUUUUUUCUUUUUACUCACAAAACUGAAAAUAUUGUAGUCUAGUUAGUCGCUGCAACGAUAAAAUUAUUAGGCAGAUAUUAUGACUAAAACAAGAGAGAAAGAGAAAGAGAGAGUAGAGAGAGAAAGCGAUAAAGAGAAUCAAUGUGUGAUUUUAAUUAACAGUUGUAAAUUGAUAGUCAUAAUUUGGCGCGUGAAACCAACAGUCUCAGGCUUUUGGUGGUAUUAGGUAACAAGACACAACUUUACAGUAAGACUCGAUCUAAAAUCAAAACUAUUCUCCUCCAGUUCCUGUCACUCUCGCUCUCUUUCUCUCACACACUCAUACACUCACACUCUUUUUUCCUCUGGUAGUUUAUUCUUUACUUUCUUUCCCCCUUCCCCAACUCUCUCUCUCUCUCCCUCUCUCUCUCUCUCUCUCUAUAUAUAUAUAUACAUAUAUAUGUAUGUAUUUAUAUAUGUAUUUAAAUUAUAUAUAUAUACAUACAUAUUUAUAUACAAACAUACUUUUACACACACACACACACAUAUAUAUAUAUAUAUAUAUAUAUAUAUAUAUACAUAUAUAUGUAUGUAUGUAUGUAUGUAUGUAUGUAGCUAUAUAUGUCUACCUAUCUUUCACGUCUUCGAUUUGUUGUUUGUUUGACGCUAUGUGGCAACCAUAAUUAGACGUCCGGGCAACUGAGAAUAAAUAUUUUACUGAGCCAACAAGUUUUUCUGUUUGUUUUCUUUUUCUGAAUGAUCGCUGAACCCAACCAGUCAGUUGCUUGAACAUUAUUCUUGUCUUUGUAAUACACACACAGAGCGAUGCAUCAUUACUCAUAUGACCACGUAUCAAUUGUGACUCCAUCACAUCAAGUACAAGCUGUUACUUCAAGAUUGCUAAAUUCCUUGAUUGUGGUCUGUUUUCUGAUUCCAAACCUUUUGCGGGUUGAGAACGGACUGCUUCAAAGUUUCCUGAAUUGAAUUGCAAAUUAUUUUCUUCAGCUCAUUUGAAUAUCACAUUCUAACCAGUCUGUAGUUUUUAGUUUCGAGUUAUCAUCUGGAUUCUUGUGUCAUCCGUGUACCCAGUGUGAGUGGCUGUUUGUAUGUCUAAGAACAUAUGUGAGAAAGCCACCAAAAUAGUAGCAGUCCCGGUACAGUUUCCAAAGGGGCUCCGCAUAGAAUGGAUGUCCCUUUGGAGAGAACAACCUCCGUUGCAACUCAUGCAGCUAUACUCAGAGUUCUCCAGUUAUACUAAGGUCACGUAGUUUGUAACUUCAUCCCGCGAUCAAACACUUCAAAGGAUUUUGCAAAAUAUAGAUUUAUCACAUCAACAUUUAUGGACGGGGCAUAUUCUACACUUUUUAGCAUUUUGUGAAGUUUGCCACAUGCAAGGAAGUUCUACAGUUAUUUAACAAGAGCUUGCUUGCAUGUUUUUCACAGAAUCCCUGGGAAACCAUCAGGGCCAGUUAUGAUUUCAAUAUGAAUUUCAAUUCAGUUAUGAUUUCAAUGGUCGAUAUUACUUUUAUAUUGAUGUAAUCUAUGAUUGCCUCCUCCCUGUGUAAUGUGCGAUGUUCAAGAACUCAUUUGCAUAUUUCUCAGUGGGGAAGUGAAAAUACGUUGGAAUUGUUUAUUUUAGUAUUUCACUUAUCCUUCAAGGGUCUGCAAUUGGUGAGCUAUUUUCUUCAAACAAAAGCGUUAUACUGUUACGCACCGAAGCGGACUCUGUUACAAUUAUUUAGAAGUCAUCAGGAUUCACUUAGAGUUACUUUAAUGCCUCUUUCUUCCCACUCCUUUGCAUGGGAGAAACUUGAUUUUCGAUGAAGUUGCCACUUUAAAGGGGACUCCUUGUUUUCAUUAAGUCGUUUAUUUAAACAAUCUGAGAUCAUUCUUCAUCCCAUAAGGACUCACCUGUAUCUAGAAAUAAUGUUCUUGAGUGUAUUGUCUCUUUGAGACAAAUAUAAUGCACGUGGCUUGCAUUACUGACAUAAGUUUUUUAAUUUUCCUAUUAUUGUCUUUUAAAGAAAAACUUUUGGGCCAGUUUUGCUUCAGUAUCUUCCGUUUCGAAUCGGUUUCCAGUCAGCUUUGUAGAUGUUCAGCCUGAAUAGUGUUUUCAGGUGUUUCAUAUUUGACAUACACAUAAGAGAUAAAAGGAGCCCGAGGUGAGCAAUUUGUCCCUGUUGUCGCAUGCACGGCCAUUAAUUUCGUUAAAGUUCUCAUGCGUGAAAGAAACAUGAUGAAUAUAGGAGAGUGAGUCAUAGAUUUGGUUCUACAGAGGCCGUACUUGUGAUCAUUAAGGAGAGGAUGAGUGCCAAAAUGUUUUCUUUAUAUUAUAGUGUAUAAUGGACAACUUCAAAAGCUCUUAGUUUGCCAGAAUAGCAAAAUAGUUUUAAUAGGGAUCUCAAAAUAAUUAAAAGGUAAGACAGAGACAAAGAGAAGUGUAGGAGGUUCACAAGUUGUUGUAGAAAAUCAUAGAUUGAUUGACAGCAGGUACUCAGAAAUACAGAUAGCCGAAAAAUUAACUACGUUAGACAGAGGGGGGUAAAUGCAAGCAUGUUUAAAUGGACAAAAGACAAGUGAAGAUACUCAUUGAAAUUUAUAGGCAUAAAGAAGUACAGACAGAUUCAUUCGCAGUUAAAUAAGCAGACAGACAGUGACAGACUAUAAAAGAAAAAUGAAACGCUGUGAGAUAAGAUAGUUACAAUUUAUUGGUAUAGACCUAGAGAUAGUUAGAAUAAAUGGCGGGGGGUGCAUAACGACAGAGCAGUAGUAAUCAGAUGGACUGAGGUAUGACGAGAAAAUGGAUUACUUGUGCUUUAAUGGCCUUUUUAACGCUAUUAUAUACUAUACAAUAGACUUAAAGAUUCUUUUAAAAAGAAUACUGUACGUGCAGACAGUGGUAUACACAGUAUAUAUAUAUAUAUAUAUAUAUAUAUAUAUAUAUAUAUAUAUAUGUGUGUGUGUGUGUGUGUGUGUGUGUGUAUAGAUGAGAAAACCGGAUCAGCUCCGAAAUCCUUUCAGUCUUAUGUUACGAUCUUUAUCAUCUGAGUAUAUUCUGUAAAUGUCAACGGAAUUAAUUAAGGUGAAUGCUCAGAACAACUUAAAGACCCACUUUUAUACUAAAAUGUUCGAUGUAAAGUGGAUGGACUAAUUCGCAUGCAUAUUGUAUACUUGGCAGAUGGAUGUCUUGUUUCAAUGCUAUAAUUUACUGCAGAAUACAUCCAUAGAUUUUCAGUCAACUCUGUAUUUAUAAACAGAUGUAAACACGUUGUCUGUAUAAACGAUAUCUUCAUGGACAGUGAAAGAUGGAUCAGUUGAACUAGAUGCAAUCCUACAUUAAAAUUUCAUCAGCGACUGCGUAGACUCUAACUGACAAUUGAAAUACUGCUUAUAAACCCACUAUUACUAAGAGAUUAAACUGGAUAGACCAGUUUGCAUACAUCAUGCGUUAUUGGUAGCUAAUUUGGUUUAUAAAUUACUGGUGCUUCAAAUCUGUUUCUAAGUACUAUGUCUGUCAAGGUACUCAGUUUAAAAUGAAAUCCUUGAACGGGACUGAAAUUACACCCACAGACACAACAUUUCUCCGUCUAUGAUAAUACAUUGACACGAUGUUUACAUUUGUCUCUGCAUGCAGUGUUGGCCAAAAAUAUUUAAGUCUACUCUAUAGUGCACUUAAGAGUGUUAAUAAUAAAAAGGGAGAGAAAAACAGAGGUACCGAUAGAGUUGGAGUUAGAAAUUUGUAAGUCACGAUUUCUUGUAUAAAAUGUAUAAAAUAAGAGAGCGUGCUAGCUCAUCUAUUGAACUAGUCAAAAAUCAACGAGUCAAAAAAAGAGGCAAAGUCACAGUGACAGUGAAGGAAAUAAAGGAAAAUAGAAAAUAGGCCAGAAUGAGAUGAUAAAUCAUAGAGAAAGGAACAUUGAGAUAGAGAGAGGAAAAGAUAGUAAGGCAAAAGAAAACGUAGAUAAAAAAUUGUUGAUAGUUGCAAGAGUAAGCAAAGUAGAGCGAGAGAAAGAAUAAGAGAAGGGACAGAAAGGUUAAAUUGGUGUAUGUAUAUACAUGUGUGUGUAUGUAUAUGUAUGCAUAUAUAAUAUAUAUAUAUAUGUAUGUAUGUAUAUAUAUAUACAUGUAUAUAUAUAUGUAUGUACAUAUAUAUAUAUAUAUAUAUAUAUAUAUAUAUAUAUAUAUAUAUAUAUGCAUACAUGUAUGUAUGCAUGUAUGUAUAUGAAUUAAGAGGUAAUAAAUCUAUAGAAACAGAAAGAUGGAGAGACUGAGUUCAACAGAGACGAGGUAAAUGAGGAGGGAAACAGGCAUUGAAGACAGCGAGACAGAUAAAACAGCAUCAAAUGGUAUUUUUAUUGAAUUAAAUGUUUUUUUGAUUAUUCCUAGCAUUCUGAAUUCAAACGCGUUAUUUAUAUUCACCCAUCACAUCUAGAUUUACACUCAUGGGGAUAUAGAGAGAGACCAUAUAUAAUAAUAUAUUACUGGACAAUUUUUUUUUAAAUAUCACAUCUAAAUUUAAAAUUAUCAUAAUGCAUCCAUUAUUUAAAGCGUAUUAUUUAUCUAUGUAAUAUAUAAUAUAUAUUUAUUUUCGUUAAUACAUUAUAUUACUAAAAUAUUUUAUUUUAUGAGAUUUCAAGGAAAAAUCUAAAUCAACUUGCAAGAAACAACAUUUGCAUAAUAUUAUCGUUAUAGUAAAAGUUUAUGGAAUACUUUAACAAGGAAAACCCAUUCAUUCCGUGCAAAAAUAUCAAAGACCCAAUUCAACAAAGCAAAAUCCCAUACAAAACAGAUUAUUAAAAAUUAAAUGUUUAUUGAUUUUCCAAAGAGAAUUAUGAAAAGUAUGAAAACUGUGUUAUUGUAUAAUCGACAGUUUAUACCAUUUUCUAUAUCUAUGUAAUAAUCAUUUUCUAUAUCUGUAUAACAUUCUACAAAGUUGUCUGAAACAAAUGAGUUCCAUGAAAACUCAUACUAAAAUGGUAAACUUCUAUGAGCACAGCCGUUUGACCUUUUUUAACGAUUCUACCCAUAAUUAUUCUUCAGGGCAAUUUGUACAAAAUGCUCGUAUUGUCUAAUUCGAUGGAAUAACAGGGCUUGCCUAUGAUAAUUUUAUACAAUAAAAAGCUGGCUAUUGAAAAAUAAGAUUUUAUAAGGACUUUAAAAUAUCAUAACAAAUUCUUUUUGUUAAAACGAAUUCCUUUACCAACAUUAUAUAUCAACUUGCAAGUCGACAAAGACGAGGAGCAAUCAAUAACUUCUCCACGCAUUUCCAACAGAAACUGAAGUAAAAUGAUAUUAACAUAGCAUUUUUGUUUGUAUCAGUUUAAAAAAUUAACAAACGAUAACUAUUUUGUGAAAAAUAUAUGUGAUGUCGACAACUUUUUAGAUGUGUUAAUUGAAACUUUCCUAGUUAUUUAAAAUCUCCAGAUUCAAAAAAAAAAUUAUAAGAUAAAAAAUAUGAUUGAUACAUUCCAUCAAACUAAAUGUGGGUGUGGGAUACGUGAUGCAAACAAAAUUGUAAAGUCGUUGAAAUAUUAUGUUAAUGAUAUGUGAGUUAAUAGAAAUAUACGAGGCAAUGAAGGUUUCGCAUUAUGAUUCUUGUUUAGUAGGCUUCUUGGUUAAGCAAACUUAUUAUCAAACGUAUACGAAAGAUGGGUGUCUUGUAUUUUUCCAUGGAUAGUGUACGACGGACUACAUAAGCAAAUGUAUUCACUGUUUUAAAAUGCUUACAUUCGACUGCAGUAUUAUAUUACAGAUGUAUAUGGAUGUAUUUAGUAAAUAAAGGAAAACAAGCACGAGAAAGGAUAAAAUAAAUAAACAAAAAUAGAAAGGAAGUAUCAGAACGGAAAAAACACAAAAAAACAAAAAGUCACGUUAUAUCGUUUAACUGCUAAUUCUGUGAUAUAUUCUGUGAUAUUAUAUAUUUCUAUAUUAUAUCUAUAUAUAUAUAGAUAUAAUAUACACAUGCAUAUACAUAUAGAUAUGUGUGCGUGAGUGUGUGUGUGUGCAUAUGUGUAUAUAAGAUAUAUAUUAUAUAUAUAUACACAUAUAUAUGGAAAGAAGAGGUGUAUAUAUAUAUAUAUAUAUAUAUAUAUAUAUAUAUAUGUACGUAUAACACACACACACACAUAUCUAUAUAUAUAUAUGUACAAACAUGCAUACAGAUGCAAAAAAUAUGUACGUACAUCUGUACCCAUAUAUUUAUAUGCAUAUAUAUAUAUAUAUAUAUAGACCCAUAUAUAUAUAGACCCAUAUAUAUACAUAUACAUAGGCGCAGGACUGGCUGUGUAGUAAAUAGCUUGCUUAACCACAUGGUGCCGGGUUCAGUGUCUUCUACUAUACCCUCGGGCCAACCAAAAUCUUGUGAGUGUAUCUGAAAGAAACUGAAAGAAGCUCGUCGUAUAUAUGUGUGUGUAUGUAUGUGUGUG